UUUACCCCACGGUCUCCGGAAAAAUAUUUCUUGUUGAUAUCCCUCCCGACCCCCUUUUCCCCACAUGAUUUUACCACAAACGUGGUGAAUUUUCGAUCAGCUGACUUGCGGCUGGCUGAUGCUGUUCAUGACAGAUGAGUUUUUGUUUAUGUUUACAUUAUCAAAUAUCGGAGGUUCCAAAAAGUUUUGUGAUGUGAAACCUUUAAUUUUUUUUAAUGUGAGCCUGAAAUUUACAAAACUUUUGAUAAGCUCAAGGUGCUCCUACGAGGCACGACUGGAACAUGUGUAAAGCGUGUAAACGAGUGUGUGGAACGAAUGGGUUCCGGAAACAACAGAGGCAGUUAUAGAACUGGAGAAAGAAGCCGAUUGGUGGCCGAUUAAAACGCCGGUAGAGGUACUUGAGAAUGAAACUACAGGGUGUAAUCGAAGAAGCAGUUGAAGAGCAUACUGCUUCCGCCCUAGCUGCAGAACCCAUUCAACGAACCAGCUAAUCCGACGCAAAGAAGAUACUGGUCACUGUACAUUCCGGCAGCGACGACGUGUUGUUAGCAGAAGUUCCGCUUCUGUCGACUACUGGUAACCGGCUUACAAAUCUGACAACGGGGCAAAGUUUCGACACCGUCCUUCAACCAUAAAGCAUUCCUCCAACGCCCUCUGACCCGAAUCCAUCGAAAUAUUAUCAUAUCCUCAACGAAGUCGACUAUCAUACUGCACUUUCAGACGCUGAGUGGCAUGAGAAGCACUAGGAACAAUUUCAUGCCACAUUGAAACCGAGCAAGGUAGUUCGUUUAACAUACCGCUGAACCAGACCUUUAUGUUAUCAUGGACGAACAAAAUGUUCGAAUAUUAAACUGGUGUGCAUGACUAUGCUUA